rnacentral:rRNA from 1 species
UACAGAGGUCCCGAGCGUUGUUCGGAUUCACUGGGCGUAAAGGGUGCGUAGGUGGUGAGGUAAGUCGGAUGUGAAAUCUCCGAGCUCAACUCGGAAAUGGCAUUGGAAACUACCUUGCUCGAGGGUUGGAGGGGGGACUGGAAUGCUUGGUGUAGCAGUGAAAUGCGUAGAUAUCAAGCGGAACACCAGUGGCGAAGGCGAGUCCCUGGACAACUCCUGACACUGAGGCACGAAAGCUAGGGGAGCAAACAGGA